CCUACGGGAGGCAGCAGUAGGGAAUAUUGCUCAAUGGGGGAAACCCUGAAGCAGCAACGCCGCGUGGAGGAUGAAGGUUUUCGGAUUGUAAACUCCUUUUGUUAGAGAAGAUAAUAAGGGUAUAUAACGAAUAAGCACCGGCUAACUCCGUGCCAGCGGCCGCGGUAAUACGGAGGGGGCAAGCGUUACUCGGAUUUACUGGGCGUAAAAAGCGCGUAGGCGGGAGAGCAAGUCAGAUGUGAAAUCCAAUGGCUUAACCCUAGAACUGCAUUUGAAACUGUUAUUCUAGAGUAUGGGAGAGGUAGGUGGAAUUCCUGGUGUAGCGGUAAAAUGCGUAGAGAUAAAGAGGAAUACUCAUUGCGAAGGCGACCUGCUAGAACAUAACUGACGCUGAGGCGCGAAAGCGUGGGGAGCAAACAGGAUUAGAUACCCGGGUAGUC
rnacentral:rRNA from 1 species